GCCGAAAUAGCUCCUUUGUUGUUUCAUGGGAGGCGCAGCGUGCCACUGGUUAAUUGCAGGGUCAUAAACCUCCAUACUCCGCACUGGAUGAGCCCCGUUGGUACCGCCCACCUGGGAGACACCAAUGAGUACAAGAAAGGAAUCACUCACCGCAUAGAUGUUUCCCUGAUAUGCAACUACUUCAAGGCCACGUCGGCGAGUGCGCAUGGGAGCGAUCAAGGUCCAUUCGCCCGUGAGAGGAUCAUAGCACUCCGCAGUGGAAGUGGUCUGAGCUUCAUUGUUACCCCCACAAAUGUAUAUCUAGGAAAGAUGGUUCACAAGUGAUGUGUGUUAUGCUGUAUAUGAUUGGAGAUGGAGAUCUAGAAAGCAUAAAUGUACAUUUAGCUAAUGCAUGUUUAAUCCAUCCAUCUUCCAUAAAAGUUUAUUCGGUACAGGGUGGUGGUGAACCUGGAACCUACCACAGGAAGCACAUGGGCAAAGGAGAGGGAGAGAGAGAGAGAGGGACAGAAGGACGAAAAUGGAGAAGAAGGGAAAUAGAGAGAGAGCGAGGGAAAAGAGAAAAAAAAAGAAGAAAGAAAACCACAGAUAAUCUGCUUCAAUACCUGCUGAUGAGAGAAAACAACAACCAACAUCUGUACGAGUCACAAUGAGCAUGUUAAGGAGCAACAGCCGAUCAAGACAGUGUGUGUCUUAGUGUGUGUGGGGAGCCACAGCCCCAUCCCCAAGGACAUGAAGCAGACACGGAGGAGGCCCGGACCCCAGACAGCCAGAGGCCCCCCAGGGCAUGGGAGCCCCCGGAGGACCACCGCAGGGAGAAUAGCAUCCCUCACCCAGAAAAGGGCAGAGGAGAGCUCCGGAGG